CGUCGAUUUUUAGCAAGGGAUCUUUUCAUAGUAGCUGGCAAGACGACACCAAGCACACGGAUUCAAGGAAAAACAGUGAAGGUCAUCGUUAUAUCGUGGUCCACGCCGGAACCAAAGAUGGCUUCAUCAAGUGUGCAAAUUUAAUAUUCAAGAGUGGAUUAAAGACGGGAGAUUAUCAUGACAAUAUGAACAGGAAAAACUGGUUUAAAACUCAGCUGGUUCCAAAUCUUCCCCCAAAGUCAUUUAUAAUCAUGGACAAUGCAAGUUACCAUUCUGGUUUGUUAGAAGAAAUCCCGAGAAAAUCUUGGACAAAGCAGAGAUUGACCGAAUGGUUGAAAAAAGAGAAUUUUGGCUUUCCAGAAAAAGCCAUGAAAGAUAGAAUAUGGAGUAUUGCACGCAUAUACUGCCCUAGUGAAAAAAAAGUACUUCCUUGAUGAAUAUGUUAAACUUUUAGGACACCAAAUUUUGCGACUGCCACCAUAUCAUUGCCAGUUUAAUGCAAUUGAAAUGGUAUUGUCGGAAUGUAAACGAAAAUAUGAUCAAUAUAUUUCCAAUUUUAAGGGGUCACCUUCAGAAGUUCUGACUACAUGGGAAAGGGUAAUAAACGAAAGUUCUAUAGAUCAUUGGCAAAAAUAUGUUUUUCAUACAGAAAAGGUAAUUGAAAAGGCUUGGAAGGCAAUACAAGUGUGUGAUGCCUAUGACAUUCUGCCACUUGUGAUUACGACUGACGAUGCUGCUCAAUUUUAUUGCAUCUGCGGCUCGCUCUAUCACAUUCUCAAUUUGAAGUGCAAUGCAAUUUCGGGCUUGUUGUUCAUGUCCCAUUAUCUAUGAUUAAUUAUAAUAAUAUUUGUUAAUUGUUAAGUUUGUUAAUAAUACAAUAAAUAAAUUUAAGUUUUAAAAACUAA